rnacentral:rRNA from 1 species
UACGGAGGGGGCUAGCGUUGUUCGGAAUUACUGGGCGUAAAGCGCGCGUAGGCGGAUCUGCAAGUCGGGGGUGAAAUCCCGAGGCUCAACCUCGGAACUGCCUUCGAUACUGCGGGUCUCGAGUCCGGGAGAGGUGAGUGGAAUUCCUAGUGUAGAGGUGAAAUUCGUAGAUAUUAGGAAGAACACCAGUGGCGAAGGCGGCUCACUGGCCCGGUACUGAACGCUGAG